GGCACCGGUUGCAAGCUGCAGGGGGAGCUGACUGUCACGUCAUCCCAGGCAGCAUUCCAGCCUCCAGGGGGAGCCAAGGAGUCGGCAGCUGAGAGCUCUGUUUCUCAUGGGAACCAAGGUCAUCGCCUUUGCAGAGGCCGGAAAAGCAAAGGUAAACAGAGGCAGACGCCUGCAGAUGGCCAGAAGCAGAGGGAGGGUGAAGAGCCCACGCCAGAGGAAAACAAGGUUUUGUUUGCUGGCAAAGCUUCACCAAAGGCUAAAGGCAAGUCUGAUGGCCAGGAGCAGGGGGGCAAGCUGCAAAAGCCCACGCCGGUGGAAAACAAGGUUUUGCUUGCUGCAAAAGCUGCUCCAAAGGCCAAGGCCAGGUUUGUUGUUGAUUCAGGCUGUACCCGCCAUGUGUCGAAAGACCGC